GUGGACAUUAAAAGCAGAAAUGAAAACCAAAUAGCUCUACUCGGAUCCAUUUUAUUUAUUAAGAUAAGGUCCAAAUCUGUAAUAAUUUCUGAAGGAAAGAGACUGUAGUCAUGAAAUAUAAAAUACAAGUCAAUUGUACCAGCAACAGAAAACACAUUCCAUACCACAUGGUGAUCACGAUGUGACUUCAGCAUAUAGGGCAGGUUCCCAGACCUGGUUCUAGUUCUCAUGGCUGGUAACUCUUACUAGUAACGUUUUACAAAAACUACGUAUGUACAAUAAAUGCGUAUAUGUCCAUAUGGAUGACACAGCUGUCAAUACAUUAGUCAAUACUUAUCAUCUUCACCAGCUGUUGUUUACUGUGGAAGUUACACUCUUUGUCAAGUUGUGAAUUAUUCAUUCCUCUACAUUACAGCAUGUUAUACAUUUAGAGUCACAUUGUUUUAUUCUUCUGGAAAUGUGAAUUUCAGCUUCAACAACAUGAAGACGAAACACAAGUUACCAAAAUUUGAUUACCAACGAUUCAUGAUCGUUAAAAUGCUUUGAGGGGUUGAACGUAGCUGCAGCACUGCUGCCCGCUACUUACAUGCCACAAUCAACUCAGACAUUUUGAAAUACUUUUAUUUUGAAAACCCCUUUGCGUUGUGGAGCGUGGGUAUAAGACGCAGCUUACUUUGCUGUGCUGGUCCGUUUGAAGCAGACACAGAGCGCAGCAGAUCUCAGAAGACCAUGUCGGAGUUUCUGUUGUUUGGAUGUCGUUUGCCUUUGGACCAUCAACACAUCUGCAACAGGAAUCGAAGAGAAAACAUGCAAGUUUGUGAAAUGAAUAAGGAAUGCACCAGUGACCUUUCAGCGGUGGCAGCUCCAUUAACCAGCCCACGGGCCUCAUUCAGCUGGACAGGUAAGUGUCAACGGGCAUUUCAUAGCUUAAACGGAUUGCUUUGUUGUGUUCCUGUCCUGGCUGCACCCAAUUAUUCAUUCCCUUUUAAGAUGGAGUUGGAUGCCUUUGGAGUAGGAGCUGUACUACUUCAGGAUAAUGACCAAGGCACCGAUCGUCCGGUAGAUUAUUUCUCUCAAAGGUUUAACGUACAUCAACUCCACCAUAGAAAAAGAAACCCUUGCUUUGUUAUGGGCGCUGCAGCAUUUUAA
rnacentral:lncRNA from 1 species